UACGGAGGAUGCGAGCGUUAUCCGGAUUUAUUGGGUUUAAAGGGUGCGCAGGCGGUCUGUUAAGUCAGCGGUCAAAGCCCGGGGCUCAACCCCGGCCCGCCGUUGAAACUGGCAGUCUCGAGUUGGAGAGAAGUAUGCGGAAUGCGUGGUGUAGCGGUGAAAUGCAUAGAUAUCACGCAGAACUCCGAUUGCGAAGGCAGCAUACCGGCGCCCUACUGACGCUGAGGCACGAAAGCGUGGGUAUCGAACAGG
rnacentral:rRNA from 1 species